AGCCGGGUUUCCGGUCCAAACCGGGCAGCGACGCGUUUCUCUGAUUCCAUCUGGUUCCAGGAGAUGAUCCUGAAUUUAACUAUUAUAGCAGCAGCAAAAAAAAAAUAAAAAAUCAGCACAGCAGCAGACGGCGGCCUGGCUUUUGUUGUCCCUCCGCUCCCCCUUCCGCAGCCUUUGCGAGCUCGCCUCUGGUUUCAUACAGUAGAGUCUUCAAAAGAAGACAGAUGGACAAGUGAAGCUGUGCCAGUCCCAGCAGUUGUCUUCAUGCACAUCAGCAUUUAAACUGGAAGACCUUC
ensembl:lncRNA zinc finger protein 239-like